CAAUGGGCGAAAGCCUGACGGAGCAAUACCGCGUGGGGGAGGAAGGCUCUUGGGUUGUAAACUCCUUUUCUCAGGGAAGAAGGUCUGACGGUACCUGAGGAAUCAGCAUCGGCUAACUCCGUGCCAGCAGCCGCGGUAAUACGGAGGAUGCAAGCGUUAUCCGGAAUCAUUGGGCGUAAAGCGUCCGUAGGUGGCAUUUCAAGUCUGCUGUCAAAGGUCGGGGCUUAACUCCGAACAGGCAGUGGAAACUGAGAAGCUAGAGUAUGGUAGGGGCAGAGGGAAUUCCUGGUGUAGCGGUGAAAUGCGUAGAGAUCAGGAAGAACACCGGUGGCGAAAGCGCUCUGCUAGGCCAUAACUGACACUCAGGGACGAAAGCUAGGGGAGCGAAUGGGAUUAGA
rnacentral:rRNA from 1 species